rnacentral:rRNA from 1 species
CAGCAGCCGCGGUAAUACGGAGGAUCCGAGCGUUAUCCGGAUUUAUUGGGCUUAAAGGGUGCGUAGGCGGCCUGUUAAGUCAGAGGUGAAAGGCGGUAGCUUAACUAUCGGAGUGCCUUUGAUACCGACGGGCUUGAAUGCAGCUGAGGUAGGCGGAAUGUGACAAGUAGCGGUGAAAUGCAUAGAUAUGUCACAGAACACCAAUUGCGAAGGCAGCUUACUAAAGUGUGAUUGACGCUGAGGCACAAAAGCGUGGGGAUCAAACAGGAUUAGAUACCCUGGUAGUCCACUGCCCUAGACGAUGAAUACUCGAUGUUGGCGAUAUACGGUCAGCGUCUAAGCGAAAGCGUUAAGUAUUCCACCUGGGGAGUACGCCCGCAAGGGUGAAACUCAAAUGAAUUGACGG